GACCGCAUAGCUCAGUUGGCAGAGCAUUGGGCUAGUAUUCCAAAGGUCGUAGGUUCGAAUCCCACUGUGGCCG